UUGGGUUUCUUUUUCCUUUUUCAAUUUUCAUUUCCUUUUUCGGUUUCUAUUAUCUUAUUCGAUUUUCAUUUUCUUAUUCAGUUUCUAUUUCCUUAUUCGAUUUUCAUUUCCUUAUUCGGUUUCUAUUUCCUUAUUCGAUUUUCAUUUCCUUAUUCAGUUUCUUUUUCCUUAUUCCAUUUCCAUUUCCUUAUUCGGUUUCCUUUUUCCUUUUUCGAUAUUCAAAUUUUGAAAAUAUUACAAGUCUAAUUUUUUUUUCACAAUAUCUUUUUUCCUCAUUUUUUUUCGUUUCCUUAUUCGUUUUCUAUUUACUUUUUCGAUUUUCAUUUCCUUAUAUAUAAGUAUAUAAGUGUUUCCCGUUUACGUCAAUGAUAACCAGUCCGAUCGAGUCAGUCCGAUAUGCGGUUUAAAUAGAACAAAAGAAUUCGACCUCUUGUGUUUAGAAGGUAGAAAAGUGAAAUAAACUUUGUAUACGGUUGUCAAGAUGUCACAAAAGUUACUUUCCGUAAAGUCAUAAAUAUUUGCAUUCACGUUGUUUAAUUUUCAUAUUGUACAAUUGUUAACAGUGCAACUUGCAAACAAUCGUUUUCAAAACGACCAUAAGUCAAGCUGUUACG
rnacentral:lncRNA from 1 species